UUUUGGCUUGUUAAUGCAGAACCUUAGUCUGUAUCACCAAGGGGACCUGGAACUCACUAUGUAGACUGGGAAACUCACAGCAAUCCUCCUGCCUCAGGCCCGAGUACUGCAAUUACGGACACCCAAAAGAAGGCCACCAGAGUCAGUUUCUGAUAAACUACCUCCAUUCUCCAUCUCAUAUGGCCCUCUCCCAGGGCAGCCCUGCCACCCCGAAAGAAUUCCGCCUUCCUCGCCCCCAGGGACCAGAACAGAUGGAGCCAGGCCCCUUGGGAAGCCCUGGGAGCAGCAAGCUCAUUGAGAAACGAUAGCUCCAGUCACCUUGCCAGCUCCUCACUGUGCAGGAGACAGACAUCUGAAGAUGGAAACCCACAACAACAAGCGUCUGAUUUCCAGACUCACGGUGGCUGCUUCUCCCAAGACAAACCAGUCUUCUUCGGUGUGCCAAGUCACGACUUGUCACGCUGACAAAUGCAUGACGUAUUGACUUGCUGUGGUCCCGCUAAUGAACCAUCUACGUUUAUUCACAAACGCUUUGCCCC